rnacentral:misc_RNA from 1 species
AAUUCUCAAGCUGGAUGCUUUUUUCAUCUCAGUUUGGUCUUGGGCUUUGUCGUGACUCCCCUUCAUUGGGAACGGCUGGCCUUAAAAAUAUUAGCUGACUCUCAUGUGGGAUUGGUUCUACUCAGCGUGAUAAUUGUGACCGCCGAGGACAUCUUUUUACUGGAUGGCCAAGCUCUAUUUGGGUUGCUUCUAAUCCUGGUUUUUGCGGAUUUUUGAUCUGUAAUUUCACUCUCACGA